GGUUCCGCCUGCCCAGUGACUCUUAAUAAACGGCCGCGGUAUCCUAACCGUGCAAAGGUAGCAUAAUCACUUGUCCUUUAAAUAAGGACUAGCAUGAAUGGCUAAAUGAGGACCUAACUGUCUCUUACAACUUGCCAAUGAAACUGAUUUUCCAGUACAAAAGCUGGAAUAAACUCAUAAGACGAGAAGACCCUGUGGAGCUUCAAAUCAAACCCACCAACCAUGGGCCCAAAGAUUUUUAGUUGGGGCGACUUCGGAGCAUAAAAAACCCUCCAAACAUGUAUUAUUUAAUCUCAUUAAGACUAACACACCAAAACAAUAACAUAAGACCCAGUAACAUCACAAUGUUACCUGAUAAAUGAACCAAGUUACCCCAGGGAUAACAGCGCUAUCCCCCUCUAGAGUCCCUAUCGACAGGGGGGUUUACGACCUCGAUGUUGGAUCAGGACACCCCAAUGGUGCAGACGCCAUUAAAGGUUCGUUUGUUCAACGAUCAAAGUCCUA
rnacentral:rRNA from 1 species